rnacentral:rRNA from 1 species
UAAGGAAUAUUGGUCAAUGGAGGGAACUCUGAACUAGCCAUGCCGCGUGAAGGAUGACGGCUUUCUGGGUUGUAAACUUCUUUUGGAUGGGGCGAAAAAACGGGAUUUAUCCUGGACUGACGGUACCAUCAGAAUAAGCACCGGCUAACUUCGUGCUAGCAGCUGCGGUAAUACGGAGGGUGCAAGCGUUAUCUGGAAUCACUGGGUUUAAAGGGUGCGUAGGCGGUUGUAUAAGUCAGGGGUGAAAGCACGCAGCUUAACUGUGUAAUUGCCUUUGAUACUGUAUGGCUUGAAUAGGGUUGAGGUUGGCGGAAUGUGAUAUGUAGUGGUGAAAUGCAUAGAUAUGUCAUAGAACACCGAUUGCGAAGGCAGCUGAUUGGGCCUAUAUUGACGUUGAGGCAC